rnacentral:rRNA from 1 species
AGAGUUUGAUCAUGGCUCAGGACGAACGCUGGCGGCGUGCUUAACACAUGCAAGUCCAGCGGUAAGGCCCUUUCGGGGGUACACGAGCGGCGAACGGGUGAGUAACACGUGAGUAAUCUGCCCUCCACUUUGGGAUAAGCCUCGGAAACGGGGUCUAAUGCCGGAUAUGAGCUUCCUACGCAUGUGGGUUGCUGGAAAGUUUUUCGGUGGGGGAUGUGCUCGCGGCCUAUCAGCUUGUUGGUGGGGUAAUGGCCUACCAAGGCUUCGACGGGUACGCGGCCUGAGAGGGUGACCGGCCACACUGGGACUGAGACACGGCCCAGACUCCUACGGGAGGCAGCAGUGGGGAAUAUUGGACAAUGGGCGGAAGCCUGAUCCAGCAACGCCGCGUGAGGGAUGACGGCCUUCGGGUUGUAAACCUCUUUCACCUCCGACGAAGCGAAAGUGACGGUAGGGGGAGAAGAAGCACCGGCCAACUACGUGCCAGCAGCCGCGGUAAUACGUAGGGUGCGAGCGUUGUCCGGAAUUAUUGGGCGUAAAGGGCUCGUAGGCGGUUUGUCGCGUCGGGAGUGAAAACACCGGGCUUAACUCGGUGCUGGCUUCCGAUACGGGCAGACUAGAGGUAUUCAGGGGAGAACGGAAUUCCUGGUGUAGCGGUGAAAUGCGCAGAUAUCAGGAGGAACACCGGUGGCGAAGGCGGUUCUCUGGGAAUUACCUGACGCUGAGGAGCGAAAGUGUGGGGAGCGAACAGGAUUAGAUACCCCGGUAGUCC